UUUGAAUCCUGGCUCAGGACGAACGCUGGCGGCGUGCCUAAUACAUGCAAGUCGAGCGGACCGACGGGAGCUUGCUCCCUUAGGUCAGCGGCGGACGGGUGAGUAACACGUGGGUAACCUGCCUGUAAGACUGGGAUAACUCCGGGAAACCGGGGCUAAUACCGGAUGCUUGAUUGAACCGCAUGGUUCAAUCAUAAAAGGUGGCUUUUAGCUACCACUUACAGAUGGACCCGCGGCGCAUUAGCUAGUUGGUGAGGUAACGGCUCACCAAGGCGACGAUGCGUAGCCGACCUGAGAGGGUGAUCGGCCACACUGGGACUGAGACACGGCCCAGACUCCUACGGGAGGCAGCAGUAGGGAAUCUUCCGCAAUGGACGAAAGUCUGACGGAGCAACGCCGCGUGAGUGAUGAAGGUUUUCGGAUCGUAAAACUCUGUUGUUAGGGAAGAACAAGUACCGUUCGAAUAGGGCGGCACCUUGACGGUACCUAACCAGAAAGCCACGGCUAACUACGUGCCAGCAGCCGCGGUAAUACGUAGGUGGCAAGCGUUGUCCGGAAUUAUUGGGCGUAAAGCGCGCGCAGGCGGUUUCUUAAGUCUGAUGUGAAAGCCCCCGGCUCAACCGGGGAGGGUCAUUGGAAACUGGGGAACUUGAGUGCAGAAGAGGAGAGUGGAAUUCCACGUGUAGCGGUGAAAUGCGUAGAGAUGUGGAGGAACACCAGUGGCGAAGGCGACUCUCUGGUCUGUAACUGACGCUGAGGCGCGAAAGCGUGGGGAGCGAACAGGAUUAGAUACCCUGGUAGUCCACGCCGUAAACGAUGAGUGCUAAGUGUUAGAGGGUUUCCGCCCUUUAGUGCUGCAGCAAACGCAUUAAGCACUCCGCCUGGGGAGUACGGUCGCAAGACUGAAAACUCAAAGGAAUUGACGGGGGCCCGCACAAGCGGUGGAGCAUGUGGUUUAAUUCGAAGCAACGCGAAGAACCUUACCAGGUCUUGACAUCCUCUGACAACCCUAGAGA
rnacentral:rRNA from 1 species